rnacentral:lncRNA from 1 species
AGGUACCACAAACUCGAAGAAGUACUUAGGAUCAUCAAAGCUCACUUUCCGCCCUGUCAACUUUUUGGAAACUCACUUUUCAUUUAAUAAUUUAUAUUUUUUCAACUGUUAUUUUAUGUGAAAACUUUGAGGAGGACAUUUGAAUUCAGGUGAUUGAAGUGGAACUACGGGAUUUCAAGAUCAAAUACCGCGACUCCAGUAAAAUUUUCUUAUCUAACGAUGUCGCUAAAGGUGAACGAUUGCGUUUUUAUUUUUAUUUUUUUCAAAAAAUUUGCAAUAUCAUUCAAAAUGUUAUGCUGACUCUUUUGAAUGCUUAUAUACUCUAUUUGAUCGAGAAGAAAUUUGUAAAAGAACAUUAAUUAAAUUACUGGUAUCCCAAUAAAUUGAAGUAAUAUAACUUGAAGCUUCAAUCUCUUCUAGGGGUUUCAUAUUUUGUUUUUCUUAUUUAAUUUGAAAUGAAGGCAUAAUCCAUCAGCAGUAUAUAAAUCCCGAUGUCCCAAAAUGCACGCCGAGCUUUUAAAAGGAAACACUGUUCAGCUUAAAUUUUCAUUAUACAACGAAUUAGAAAAACUAAUGAUAUGUAAAAGAAAGUAGUUUUUCUGGAUUAGGAAAUAAUGGGCAAUUUUGUCAGAACUUAUAGCAAUUGAAAUCACAGCAUGCAUUUUAAGAUAGAACAGUAUAUGUGGAUCCGUUGAUAAAGGUUAGUUUGCUUCGCCCCAUCUUUUUGUUUGGUGAAGAUACAUAUUCCGAUAACCAUUUGUUAAGCUUUCGUUAUUUUGGCUGGUUAGCAAAAGUGGUCUGACAUAUUCUCUUUUGGUUUAUCAAAAAGACAACAAUGCUAACAAUAUGUGACGUCGGAUGCUAUGGAACAAUUAUAGGAAAAGGAAAAGGAAGAGAGGAGAGAAAGAAAGAGGUGCAGAGAAAAGAAUAAUUGGGGGCAAGAGGAAAUCUGUUUAUUUCAUAUAUCAAAUAUGUUCGAAUUACGUUGCAUAAGACCCCUUUUAUAGGGUUUUUAGGAUCUUAUUCUAAGUAGGAAAUAUAUAAUAAAAUCUAUUCAAUCAAACGCUUAACUAUGUUCCCUAAAAUAAAUAUUAAAAUUGGAAAUGAAAUCUACAGUUAUCUCUUAUAAUCUUCCAUUAAUACGAGUUAUGAAGUUUGGUUGUUUGUUGGGGUUGCAAAUAAAUUCAGGGAUUCUGCUGGUGGUCCCACUUCAUUUGGCGAUAAAUGGACCUGAAUGUAGGGUAAUGCUAGAGGAAGGGGAAACCGAUGACAGAUUCUUGAUAAUGUUAGAAAGUAGAAUGUUUGCAGAAGAACUCUUCUUGGAAGCCGUAUGUAAAACAUAGAUUUAACAUCUUGUUUGGAAGGAAAUAUUUGGAUAAAUUGUUGACAAUUAUGACAAUAUUUCCAUGUAUAUAUGCUUGCAAAACAUUGCAAACAUGGAGUCAAUGUUUAUGAGUAAUAUGAAGCAUACCAUACUCACAUACACUGGCUCAGUAUUUUUGAGUUUUCUUCAUAUCACAUGGUGCACGAAACCUAAUUUUGAUUUGCCUGAUUUAAUUCUCGUCGUCUUUAACUAUUUUAUGCACGCAAAAGGAUGAUGGAACUUGAAGAGGGUUCAGUGACAGAGGAGAGUGAUGCUGAUUUACUUGGGAAGGCUUGAUGCAUGGAAAACCGUGAAGAUUGCAAAAGGUACCGUAAAUACUGAAGCGUGUUUUCAAGAAAUUACUUAUUACCUCUAGGCUUAAUGAAGGCUCUGUAGCCCACUAUAUAACGGUUUCUUAUAUCUACGUCUUCUGACAUGGGCAAUUGAGCAAACCCAAGUAAUAAAUGUACUCGGUUGUCUUGGUCUACUAUUUGGGCCAAAAUGGGAUUGAAAUAGAAUGCUUAUGAUAUUAAACUAAUGAGUUAAAAACACUGGUGUUCGAUGAACUCUUAGUGGAAUUUCAUACUCGUUACAUACUUUAUUUUGUUCUUCAUAUCACAUGGUGCACGAAACUAAAGCUAGCUAUCUUGCUUGACUUCUCGACUUGCAUGUCUUGCAUUCAUAAAUCAAAGUGUUAGUCCAGUGAAUGAAAGGUUUGCCUUGUGUUGGGAAGUAAGAUGAAAUUUAACUAAAGAUUAAACCUUAAAACCAAUUAUACUGUAGUAUCCUUCACUUUUAUCAUAUUCAGUUUACACUUCCUCUCAACAGCAACAAUGGACAAAUGUGGACUCUUUUACCAGAGAAAGGUAAUAUCUAUCUUCUGUAUGAACAAUGCUAACUAUUUUGCCAUGAUUUUGAUUCUGUUUUGUGUUAUAGCUUAUUCUUCCGACUCACCCCUUAUCCUUUGUGCAGAUAUGGUACCAAUGGCGCUCUUCAACAUCCUUUAAUGAGUUGGAACAGGCGGUCAAGCAUAUUAUAUUGACAACGUCAGAAGCAAUUAACUCGUAUGUUCCUACAAGAAGCAGAACACGCCUUGCUAUUUGCACUGAGAGAAGGAAAUUAGAUUCUUCGGCCAAAAUCCAGCUCAUUCAUCUUGUGUAUGACCGGCCUUAUUUGACUAUAUUCUGAAAUUUGACUAUAUUCUUUCAGAUUACACACCAGAAAACAAAAAAUAUUGAAAUGCAGAAAAAUCAAUGAAAGUCGAGGAACCUGGCAAAUGUAUCCUUCUGGUAAUGUAAUAUUUGGGACGAGGUUGAUGAUGAGCUGAACAGCCUGAGCUUGGCUUUGAGCUGCAUUGUAGUUAGAAUUUUGGAUGGAGCAACGGUUACUUUUCCCUCAAUUCAGAGGUCAAGAAGUAGAAUGUUGAAAUUCAAAAGAUUCAAGCUUUUUUCUUACCCUCAGCUAAAAUACAGUAGAAUAUGAGUGCACAUAUCUGUUUCAUCCGUAUGUUGUAUAACCAUCGGUAAGAAUUCUAGAAGAAAAAAAAAACCAUUCUCCAAAACCCUUACUUAAACAUACAUUACAGAAGAGUGGACUUAUUAGAGGUUGUUCUAUAUCAGUUGUGGAUGGGGUUAGUAUUCAGUUUAUAAGUGUGAGGGAAAGUUUUAUUUUUUGAGCUAACUUUUGAGAUGAGAGAGGUCCAAUACCAACCAACUUUGAUAUCAAAGCGUGGUUUAUCACCAAGUCUCCAACCCAAUAGUUACGGGGAUACGAGUUUAUAUGAG